UUAACUAAAAUAUUAGACACAGAAAUCGGCCUUUACAACAAGCUUAUAAGCACUUUCAUUCAAUUUUGUCACUAUUAAUAUUUGAUAGGUCAGUAUUUAUUUAUACUAAAGCGAUGCUCUGAAAUUUUAAUUUCACUGGGAAUCACACACAGUGUAUUUCAAAAAUCAAGCAACAGGAGCAGCUAUUGCCAGUUUAAUAGAGGGCCAUGGACUUGCUGCAGGAUUACGAUGAUGCCAGUGGCAAAGGCGAGUCAAGCUCAGAAGCAAAGCAUUCAUCAGGAAUGGAACACGAGAGCUCUUCUCCAGACUCAUCUCCCUUAAGGCUGUCUCUGCCAUCUAAAUCGUGCGCACCGCAGGUGGACGAAACCCUAAUGGCGCUGGGCAUUCCAGGCGUACCGAAAGAUUUUCAUAGCAAGCCGAUCGAUCCAGUUCAGCACAGCGUGAAAUUUAAUCCGACGUACGACCAGCUGUGGGCUCCCAUCUAUGGCCCUGCGCAUCCCUAUGCUAAGGACGGCAUUGCCCAGGGCAUGCGCAAUCACAAGCUAGGGUUUGUGGAAGAUGCCGCCAUCGAGCCCUUCAUGUUCGACGAGCAAUACAACACUUUUCACAGGUAUGGCUAUGCUGCUGAUCCUUCUGCUUCGGUAGCCAACAAUAUAGUUGGAGAUUUAGAGGCUUUGAAGGAGAAUGAUGGGUUGUCCGUUUAUAAUUUGCCUCAACGUGAACACAAGAAACGAAAACAUGAUUUGAAAACAGCCCAGGUGGAAGAAAAUGGAGAAGAAGAAGAAAAUGGCGAAGAGAUUGACAAUCCUGCAUCUGAGGAAUGGUUAAGAAAGAAUAGAAAGAGCCCGUGGGCUGGUAAGAAGGAAGGAUUGCAGACUGAGCUGACAGAAGAACAGAAGAAGUAUGCUGAAGAACAUGCAGAGAAGAAGGGUGAGAAAGAGAAGGGUGAGAAAGAGGAAUUUGCAGACAAGACCACGUUCCAUGGGAAGGAGGAGAGAGACUACCAGGGCAGGUCAUGGGUUGCUCCUCCAAAAGAUGCGAAGGCUACAAAUGAUCAUUGUUAUAUUCCCAAGCGGUGGGUUCACACAUGGAGUGGUCAUACAAAAGGGGUUUCUGCAAUCAGGUUCUUCCCCAAGUAUGGUCAUCUCUUGCUUUCUGCCAGUAUGGACACCAAGAUCAAGAUUUGGGAUGUUUUUAACAGCGGCAAAUGCAUGAGGACAUACAUGGGCCAUUCCAAGGCAGUCAGAGAUAUAUCAUUUAGCAAUGAUGGUUCCAGAUUUUUGAGUGCAGGGUAUGAUAGGAACAUCAGACUUUGGGACACAGAAACAGGGAAGGUGAUUUCAUCAUUCUCCACGGGGAAAAUUCCUUAUGUUGUAAAGCUCAAUCCAGAUGAGGAUAAGCAAAAUGUGCUUCUUGCAGGUAUGAGUGAUAAAAAGAUUGUGCAGUGGGACAUGAACAGUGGGGAGAUCACUCAGGAAUACGACCAACAUCUUGGUGCUGUUAAUACUAUUACUUUCGUUGACAAUAAUAGGAGGUUUGUGACAUCGAGUGAUGACAAGUCUUUGAGGGUUUGGGAAUUUGGUAUUCCAGUGGUUAUUAAAUACAUCAGUGAGCCGCAUAUGCAUUCAAUGCCAUCUAUUUCUCUCCAUCCAAACACAAAUUGGCUUGCUGCACAGAGUUUGGAUAAUCAAAUUCUUAUCUACAGUACAAGGGAGAGGUUCCAACUUAAUAAGAAGAAGAGGUUUGCAGGGCACAUUGCAGCAGGUUAUGCUUGCCAAGUUAACUUUUCACCUGAUGGGCGGUUUGUCAUGUCUGGAGAUGGUGAGGGCAGGUGCUGGUUUUGGGACUGGAAAACUUGCAAAGUGUUCAGAACUCUUAAAUGCCAUGAAAGUGUUUGCAUAGGCUGUGAGUGGCAUCCUUUGGAACAGAGUAAGGUUGCUACAUGUGGCUGGGAUGGGAUGAUUAAGUAUUGGGAUUGAAUUAAUAACAAUAAACAAUGUGUAAUAUAAGCUUCAAACUUGCCAUGAGCAUGUAUUUCUGGAGGUGCUUUAUGAAUAGAGUGGAUGCACGGCCUUUUCAACAUGUACAGUGCCAAGAGACUUAGUAUAGCAGGAAAACUUAGAUGAACUGGAUGUAGAAGAUAGAAAUGGAGGCCAACAAGAUAACUCCUUUUUCAAAGGUUCACUAUGAUCAGAAACCUUCUACAUUAAUCCAUGCUCUUUGGACUGUUGGUUGCUAUGUUCUGCUAUCUCAUGAAGCAUGCAUUCCACAUUUGAUGAAGCAUUUUUUACUUAUUUUUCUUGUUCAUCUUUAUUUCCUUUGCUUGCACGAGGCUGAAUAGACCCCGUCUUUAAAGCUUUUACUCUUUUUGGCUCAGGUUGUCUUUCUUCCUCCCCUACUUAACAAUCCACCAUGCAAUUUGUUUCUAGCACCCCUUGAUGGGUUGCCUUUGCUUCCUUCCACUCCAUGAGUUUCCUUUUCUUGGUUACCUGCUGCUGAUCCUUAAAUUUACCUCCAUUCAUACUUUCCACACCAUUUUCUUUGAUUAAUUCAUCAUUUGUUGCAAUUUUGAAUCCAUGACCUGUUCUCUUUGAUUUCAGAGGCAGCAAAUCAACCCCGCUGGCAUAUCAUGCACUGCCAUGGAAUGACCAAAAUGGGUUCUGUAAUCUUUUCUACUAGAAAAUUAUUUUC